GUUUGAUCCUGGCUCAGGAUGAACGCUGGCGGCGUGCCUAAUACAUGCAAGUCGAGCGAAUGGAUUAAGAGCUUGCUCUUAUGAAGUUAGCGGCGGACGGGUGAGUAACACGUGGGUAACCUGCCCAUAAGACUGGGAUAACUCCGGGAAACCGGGGCUAAUACCGGAUAACAUUUUGAACUGCAUGGUUAGAAAUUGAAAGGCGGCUUCGGCUGUCACUUAUGGAUGGACCCGCGUCGCAUUAGCUAGUUGG
rnacentral:rRNA from 1 species